rnacentral:lncRNA from 1 species
CGGAGCAACGUAAAGGAGGCACGUGAAGGUGGCGCUCUCUGAGGCGGUCCGGCGCUCUCUGAGGCGGUCCGGCUCUCUCAGGGUGUUCCGGCAGGCUUCUCGACGUGUGAGUUACAUUCGACGCCUGGUACUCAGACCGACGCGUUAACAGAGAAGCAGGCAUUCAUUAACCUCUCAGGACUGCUCAUCCUGACCCUGUAACUGGAUGAAGCCAUGUGACUAGUCUUGGCCAGUGAAUUGUGAAGGGGAGAUGAGGCAUGAAAGUUUCUGUCUGGCACAAGAUUCUCCAGAGCGCUUUAUGUCACUGGGACCAGCAAUAUUCCAGAGAAUGGGCCCUUUACUCUGGAUCUAGAGUAAGAACAAUCCAGAACAAAGAACUGCCUCUAUUCACAACAGACAGAUUCUUCAAGUGA